rnacentral:rRNA from 1 species
AUUCCAGGUGUAGCGGUGAAAUGCGUAGAGAUCUGGAGGAAUACCGGUGGCGAAGGCGGCCCCCUGGACGAUAACUGACGCUGAGGCGCGAAAGCGUGGGGAGCAAACAGGAUUAGAUACCCUGGUAGUCCACGCCGUAAACGAUGUCGACUUGGAGGUUGUGCCCUUGAGGCGUGGCUUCCGGAGCUAACGCGUUAAGUCGACCGCCUGGGGAGUACGGCCGCAAGGUUAAAACUCAAAUGAAUUGACGGGGGCCCGCACAAGCGGUGGAGCAUGUGGUUU